rnacentral:rRNA from 1 species
GUGCCAGCAGCCGCGGUAACACGUAAGGUGCGAGCGUUGUUCGGAAUUAUUGGGCGUAAAGGGCAUGUAGGCGGAUAGGCAAGCUUGGUGUGAAAUGUUACAGCUUAACUGUGAGACAGCAUUGAGAACUGCCGAUCUUGAAUUACUGAAGGGUAACCAGAAUUCCACGUGUAGGGGUGAAAUCUGUAGAUAUGUGGAAGAAUACCAAUGGCGAAGGCAGGUUACCGGCAGAUAAUUGACGCUGAGGUGCGAAAGUGCGGGGAGCGAACAGGAUUAGAUACCCUGGUAGUCCGCACCGUAAACGAUGUACACUAGGUGUCUGGCAUAACAGCUGGGUGCCAAAGCAAACGUGAUAAGUGUACCGCCUGGGGAGUAUGCCCGCAAGGGUGAAACUUAAAUAAAUUGACGG